rnacentral:misc_RNA from 1 species
GAUGAAGAACGUAGCGAAAUGCGAUAAGUAAUGUGAAUUGCAGAAUUCAGUGAAUCAUCGAAUCUUUGAACGCACAUUGCACUCAUUAGUAUUCUAGUGAGUAUGCCUGUUCGAGUGUCAUUUCAACCCUUAAGCCUAGCUUAGUGUUGGGACUCUACCCUAACCGGUAGUUCCCCAAAAUCAGUUGGCGGAGUUCAGUCGGCUCUGAGUGUAGUAAUUUUCUCUCGCUUUAGAAGUCUUCUGGAUUACGGCCAGAAAGAGACGAGUCUCGCAUCUCGGUGCGUUUCUCAACUUUUUUUUACAAUGGUUGACCUCGGAUCAGGUAGGAAUACCCGCUGAACUUAAGCAUAUCAAUAAGCGGAGGA